rnacentral:misc_RNA from 1 species
UUAACUAUUAUAUAGUACUCAGACAUCACUAAAAACAGAGUUUGUUUCCUCUGGCAGGCACGCAUAAGCCGGAGCCCAUGGUGUUUCCACGGCCUGCCAAAGCAACUAAGGUAUAAAUAUUCAAGGGUGGGAGAUCUACCCGUGAGGGCAUGAACUCUGUAAUGAUCCUUCCGCAGGUUCACCUACGGAAA